GGCCGAGGACAGCACCAGGCUGCUGCUGGUCCAGCACACGGGAGCGGCCGGCCCGACCCACUCACACCUAGCACCAGGUCCUAAAGGAAGCUCCUCAUCAGAGCCCGAUGGCCCCAUCUGCAUCAGCUGUGUGACCAUGUGCCUGUCACCAGGUCUCUCCAGGCCUCCCCCUUGUGUAACAUAAAUCAGUCUGAUAAAACCCUAACCUUGCCCUUGGCCCUAGACCACAUGGGACAGCGACUGCCCACAGGAGACCCUGGCCAAGGGCAGUCCAGGCUGUGGUGACCUUGGCUUCAAACAAGAAAAGAGCUGACAGACAGACCAGCGCCCUCCUUCUAAGCCUCUGUGGAAGAGAGCAUCCCUUUGCUUCAAAAGAAGGAGAAAGAAACUGAAGGCUUGUUCUUUCCUUUUAGCACCACUGAAGCCCAGUUAGAGUCUCAAACUUAGAACUUGGCAUCGCCACAGUUUCUCUAAAGCCAGGAUUCUAGUAAGGCGGGAUACCUAGGAGGAGAGGCUACCCCUGGUUGGCAGUCUAGCUUGUCACUCAAAGUGUAGCAAACCAAUAAGUAAUCGAUGCCACAAACUAAAGUGUAGGUCUGGUCCACGGCACUAAUGCCACAAGAGGUUAGCCAUGGACUGACUGCUCGAGGGUCUUCUUCGCCUACCAGUCUCUUGCUUCACUCCAAGGGGAAUGACAAAUGGUGGCGGGGAGUCAGGUCUGGCUCACUCACUCAUUAUUAUUGACAGAGCAGUCGAUGUGCUGCCCUGUGGCAUGAGAGUCAAAAAGUCAUGCUGUGGUUUGACUGUGUCUCCCAGAAGUUCAUGUGGUAGAAACCUUAACUCCAAACGCAUAUGCUUGUGGUAUUUGGUGGUGGGGACUUAGGGAGAUAAUUAGGGACAGAUGAGGUCAUGAGGGUGGGUUCCCUUGAUUAGUGGCUUUAUAAGAAGAGGAAUAGAGACCCAAGUUAUUGCACUCGCUCUGUCUACAGGGGAUGCCUCCUACCAGUUUAGGCUGUAGCAACAAAGCCAGAUCUGAACUUUCCAU
rnacentral:lncRNA from 1 species